UACGGAGGAUCCAAGCGUUAUCCGGAUUUAUUGGGUUUAAAGGGUGCGCAGGCGGAAGAUUAAGUCGGCGGUGAAAUUUUGCAGCUCAACUGUAAAAGUGCCAUCGAUACUGGUUUUCUUGAGUGUGGAUGAAGUAGGCGGAAUUUGUGGUGUAGCGGUGAAAUGCAUAGAUAUCACGAGGAACUCCGAUUGCGCAGGCAGCUUACUAAACCAUAACUGACGCUCAGGCACGAAGGCGUGGGGAUCAAACAGGAUUAGA
rnacentral:rRNA from 1 species